rnacentral:rRNA from 1 species
UUCCAGACUCCUACGUGAGGCAGCAGUGAGGAAUAUUGGUCAAUGGCCGAGAGGCUGAACCAGCCAAGUCGCGUGAGGGAUGACGGCCCUACGGGUUGUAAACCUCUUUUGUCGGGGAGCAAAGAGAGUCACGUGUGGCUCAUUGAGAGUACCCGAAGAAAAAGCAUCGGCUAACUCCGUGCCAGCAGCCGCGGUAAUACGGAGGAUGCGAGCGUUAUCCGGAUUUAUUGGGUUUAAAGGGUGCGCAGGCGGAAUGUCAAGUCAGCGGUAAAAUUUCGGGGCUCAACCCCGUCGUGCCGUUGAAACUGGCGUUCUUGAGUGAGCGAGAAGUAUGCGGAAUGCGUGGUGUAGCGGUGAAAUGCAUAGAUAUCACGCAGAACUCCGAUUGCGAAGGCAGCUUACUAAACUGUGACUGACAUUGAUGCUCGAAAGUGUGGGUAUCAAACAGGAUUAGAUACCCCCGUACAU